CAAACACACGGGUUCCGAAACCCACAGGAGCCGCGCUUCUCCUUCGCCUUCCGGUGUGAAAGGCGGGUGGCGUCUUAUUCCAGGGGGCGGCCCCACCUUCGUGGUCCAGAACCCCCGCCCCCUCACGCACCGCCCGCGCCCCUCCUUUGCGGGUAAGGCGGCCCCGCCGGCGGCGCGUUACAGAAGCGAGGCGACGGUUGCCGGGAAGCGCGUGCGGCCCCUCCUUUCCCUCCUCCGGCCCUCCCCGCACGCGCUCCGCAUUUUUCCUCUUUCUCGGUUAAUAACAGCUGGUUGGCUGGGGGGAGGAGGGAAGGUGGCCCCGGAGGAGUCUGGGCGGGCGCCUCCCACUCACCCGCGAGCCGCCGUGGGAGCCGAAGGAUGGCGGCGGUAGCAGCGGCUGCCCGGGAGGAGGCGGUACCGAGGUCCGGGGCGCAGACCGCGGCGGUGGCGGCAGUGAGCGGCAGCGGCCCGUCGUGGCGCACCAGAACCGAAACCAGCGGCAGUCGCACAGCCACCUGAGCCGCUCCCUCCCACGGGAACCCGCGAGCGGCGGCCACUGCUCCCGGAACCGGGAACUGCUUCCUCCUUUCCGACUCUCGUCGCCUCCCGCCGACUCGCCUGCCGACUAAGAAGAAGAGGGCGUCAGAAAACGACCGCCCUUCGGGGCGCCGGCCGCGGCGCCUCGGCCCUACCCUCUUUCUCCUGCGCUCGUCCCCCCGCCUCCCGGCGCUCCGGGCGCUACGCGCCGGCCGGGCCCGGGGCAGGGCGGAUAUGGGUGCCAAGCAGAGCGGCCCGGCCGCUGCUAACGGCCGCACCCGGGCGUACUCGGGCUCGGAUUUACCUUCCAGCAGCAGCGGAGGGGCCAAUGGGACCGCGGGCGGCGGCGGAGCCCGGGCUGCGGCCGCGGGGAGGUUUCCGGCUCAGGUGCCCGGCGCGCACCAGCCCAGCGCCUCCGGCGGCGCCGUGGCGGCUUCGGCGGCCCCACGCAGCCGCUCCCUCGGCGGGGCCGUGGGGGCCGUGGCGUCGGGGGCCCGUGCCGCGCAGUCCUCCUUCAGCAUCCCCAACAGCAGCAGCGGCCCGUACGGCUCACAGGACUCGGUCCACAGCAGCCCUGAGGACAGCGGUGGUGGUAGGGACCGGCCGGCAGGCGGGGGCUCCGGCGGGCCGCGCUUGGUGAUCGGCUCCUUACCAGCUCACCUCUCGCCGCACAUGUUUGGAGGAUUUAAGUGCCCUGUAUGCUCAAAAUUUGUACCCUCAGAUGAAAUGGACUUGCAUCUUGUGAUGUGUUUAACAAAGCCAAGAAUAACCUAUAAUGAGGAUGUACUGAGUAAAGAUGCUGGGGAAUGUGCAAUAUGCCUUGAAGAAUUGCAGCAGGGAGAUACUAUAGCACGGCUGCCUUGUUUAUGCAUAUAUCAUAAAGGUGACUUCCUCCACUGAAAUCUUGAACAGCUUCAAGUCAUCCACGAAGAUUGGAAUCAAUGUCUUCCAAACUCCUGUUCAUAUUGAUAUUUUGACCUCCUCCCAUGAAUCAUGAGUGUUCUUAAUGGCAUCUAGAAUGGUGAAUCCUUUCCAAAAGGUUUUCAAUGAACAGGAAGGUCUGAGGAGAGGGAAAGAGAUUGGGAAACAGCUGGUCGGUGGAGCAGACAGAACACACAAAACAUUUAUCACUGCAUAGAUGAAUGGUUUGAAGUAAAUAGAUCUUGCCCUGAGCAUCCUUCAGAUUAAGCAUCAGAUUCCUGCAUUAUAGGUUUUCUUGUAUAUUCAAGAUGCUUGAAAAACCUAGAAGAUAUGAACAUCUGUCUUGGGAAAAAAACGGAAAUAAAAACACAGGCACACUAAGCCAGACAUCUGAGUUUGUGAGACUCGGUAAUACAGAGAUGGACAAUCAUACAAGAAGAAAAAAAAACCUGCUGAAGAGGACAAUUACCAUAGCACUCAGUGUACCAAACAUGCAUAUAAAGGACACACAGGGAUUUUGAAAAUGCUGCACAUCCCUUAAUAGUCAUCUACAUAGGUAAUACUGAUAAACAUUUUGUAUUCAGACGCCAAAGUUAACUGAUUUAAAAGUUGAUUUACUUUUUAUUAGGUUUCUAGAGCUGUGCAACUUGUGUUUUGAUUUUUUUUUGUUUGUUUUUUUAGUUUGGGGUCUCUGUUUUCCCCAGCAUAAUAUUUCUGCAUACAUUUAUUCUUAAAUUGAAAAGCACAUAAUUUAUUUCUUACAAAUUAAAAUCUUAAAUGUGAAACUAAGUUGUGUAAUCAAGCAGUAAAGCAUUCUCUGAAUGCAGACCAUAAUCUCAAGUUGUUCCAUUUUUUCCCCCAAGAUGGAAAAUAGACUUUCUACCUAAAGCUAAAAUUUAUUACUAUUUUUCAAUUAAAGAUUUAACGUUUCCCCAAGAAUGGAAAUAGACUUCUCCAUAGAAAAGGUAAAAUAUGUUAAUAUUUUCCACUUGAAGGUUUAACAUUAUCAGAAUGCAGCCCAAAGAGUAAAUCAAGUUUCAUAAUUAUAUUUUAAUAAAUUGAAUCUAGGUUUGUCUACUGAAUUGCAGUUUAUUAAAUAUAUUGUUUCUUCUUAAAUAAAACUGCUCAGCAAUUAAUCAGCAGUAAAUCAUCUUGCAGCUAUGCAACUUUUAAAAUAAAUGAAUUACUAAUUUUAAGUGCUGCCAGCUAACUUAGUUUUAACGGGUAUUUUUUUUAUUUUCAUAAAAUUAUUUCGUUGUGCUUUGCAUCUUCAGGCAGUUUUUCCACAUUUGGGUAAAAUGUUUAGAAGGUUCUAAACUUAAUAACUUAAUGAAAAGGGUAAAAUAAAAUUUUCUGGAGUGGAGCUUGAGAUAAUUUGAGGGAUAUUUUAUAUACUUUUAAAAAUCAGAAUUUAAUUGGGGUGCCAGAUUUAUAGCAAUUUGCAUCUUUACUUUUCCAGAAAAUCUGGAAGUUAGCAUUUGAUAAAUGAUUUUUUAAGCAAAUAUUUUUUAAUUUAUAAUUUAUUAAUGUGUUACUACUGUAAUUAAAAAUGUUAUUCUACAGAAACUUCUAAAUUCAGUCUUGUGUAGAAAGAAAUGUAUUAAGCAAAUUAUGUGAAUAAAUAUUCCUACAAUAUACAUCUGAAUGGUCUAAAAAAAAAAAAAAAAAGGAAAAAA